UACGAAGGGGGCUAGCGUUGCUCGGAAUCACUGGGCGUAAAGCGCACGUAGGCGGCUCUUUAAGUCAGGGGUGAAAUCCUGGAGCUCAACUCCAGAACUGCCUUUGAUACUGGGGAUCUCGAGUCCGGAAGAGGUGAGUGGAACUCCGAGUGUAGAGGUGAAAUUCGUAGAUAUUCGGAAGAACACCAGUGGCGAAGGCGGCUCACUGGUCCGGUACUGACGCUGAGGUGCGAAAGAGUGGGGAGCAAACAGG
rnacentral:rRNA from 1 species